AUCAGCAUGCCGCGGUGAAUACGUUCCCGGGCCUUGUACACACCGCCCGUCACACCACGAGAGUUUGUAACACCCGAAGUCGGUGAGGUAACCUUUUGGAGCCAGCCGCCUAAGGUGGGACAGAUGAUUGGGGUGAAGUCGUAACAAGGUAGCCGUAUCGGAAGGUGCGGCUGGAUCACCUCCUUUCUAAGGAA
rnacentral:rRNA from 1 species